CCUACGGGAGGCAGCAGUGAGGAAUAUUGGUCAAUGGACGAGAGUCUGAACCAGCCAAGUAGCGUGAAGGAUGACUGCCCUAUGGGUUGUAAACUUCUUUUAUAUGGGAAUACAUUGUUCCACGUGUGUGAUUUUGUCUGUCCCCUAUGAUUCAGGAUCGGCUAACUCCGUGCCAGCAGCCACGGUAAUACGGAGGAUCCGAGCGUUAUCCGGAGUUAUUGGGUUUAAAGGGAGCGUAGGUGGGUUGGUAAGUCAGUUGUGAAAGUUUGCGGCUCAACCGUAAAAUUGAAGUUGAAACUGGAAGUCUGGAGUACAGUAGAGGUGGGCGGAAUUCGUGGUGUAGCGGUGAAAUGCUUAGAUAUCACGAAGAACUCCGAUUGCGAAGGCAGCUCACUGGACUGCAACUGACACUGAGGCUCGAAAGUGUGGGUAUCAAACAGGAUUAGAUACCCGAGUAGUC
rnacentral:rRNA from 1 species